UUUUUUAAUUCGUCGCAAAGAACUUGAUUUCACGGCAGGUGCUCCUGGUGCUAGCCAGAAUGCCACCUCUGCCCUAGGACCCACACCGGAAACCCAUCACCAUCACCCAAGCCUCAUGUGCCUGCCAUCAUCCUCCUCACAAAAAGAAAAGGAAUCCUGCACGGCACAUUCUUCGUCAAACCGCUUACUUCCAAACUGGAUUCUCCUGCUGACACACGGGACUGGUGCGGUUUAGGACCCAUGUCUGGGCUCCAGCUGCCAAAAGAAGAUGGGAGCAGGUUUCCCGGCUUCUGUAUGUGAAGGUUUUGGCAACAAAGAAUGGGAUUUCAAGCUGACUGCUAACAGCCUGAGCAUGAGACACACUUACCGAACCCUUUGAGUUCACUCUUCCUCUCCUCAUUACUGAGAGCCAGCUAAAGAUCUCCCCAAUAUAAAGAAGCAAAUUGAAGAUCAUGUCACUGGAUGGAUGGGCCAAAGCCUUCAUAUCACAAACUUUACAACCCACUUCUUUGAGGAAUUAAAAACAACUAUCCUACAAAUGAAGACAACUUGUACAACUUGUCUCAUGAGUUGAGUCUUUAUAAAAACAGGAAGAAAAAAAAAACCCACCUAUCCUUUAUACAAGUCCCAAAACCUCCUCUACCCAUCUCAAAAGGCUGCUAAGCAUUGUAUGCCAGAUAAAUUUGCACUGGCUCCUGAACAUUUGAAACAUUAUGCUUUGAGACUCGUUUUAAUCCUCUGGGAAAUGUUGAUAUUUUUGUCUUAGCAGGCCAUAAAUACGGUUUGGUUCCAGUCACAUAUUCAAAACAGUCAUUUGUGGGUUAUUAUUUCAAUGUCAUUUCUGUCUUCAAAGUCUUUGAAGUGUUUUUAGGAUCUGCCCCGUGGAUGCACCACCCAUGGCCAUUCUGAGACGUGAGCGACGGUCUGUUGCUUACUACAAUUCUCAACUUCUUUGGUGUAUUGUUUAAGGUUAGAUCAUGCAUGUGUAGUUCUGGGCUCAGCACAGGAGUUCAUAGACAACCUUCUUGGGUCACUUUUCUGACCUCCAUGAUCUUUCUGGCUCUUUGUUCCCAUAGACUCUCUUUUUUAGGUCUUUGGCCAAAAAGAUGGGGCUUUUUUUUUCUGCUCUGCUGUGUACUUACCUCAACUGUACUCGUGUUUGGAACCAAGGGGAAAAAGGACAGAGAAACAGGAAAACAGGGCUUCAUUCCCACCCUUUUGGACCAGAGCCCUUCCAAAUGGAGAGGAAGCUUCCUCUUCAGAAUUUUAGAUCAUUGCAUGUCCCUGCUGCCCCCUGUCACUGCCAGCGGACCCCUUUCCUACUCCUCAAAUCUAACUAGAGGGCUUCUCCCCAACUCCUUCUGUCCAUACAGAAGUCUACUUAUGGGUUCUCGAUACCUUAAAUCCAGCCCAGCAUACACAAGACGGGGAAAAUGAUAAAUUCACAGCUAUUUCACUGGUACUUCGAUUCUAGUCUCCAAUCCAUCUGUUCCUGUUAACUUUUAAGAGCUCUCCACUAAGAGAGUCUGAUGGGAGUCUGCUUCUCCCAUCUGACUGAGAACUGGGCCUCCCCUCAUUAGCGCUUUAAAAGUUCUAAGCUCUCCUGCAAGAGACCACUUUAACUUUUUUUCACCCAUGUUUGCUCAAACAUAUAAAUCCUCGGAGCCCAGUUUUCACCUAAUGUUUAUGAACAGCUUGCACAAUCAUUAUUCUUCAGGAACACAUUUUCAAAAGCACCGUCCUAAAUCAAACCAAUAAUUUUUUUAAAAUCCUUCAACUAUCAGUGGUCUUCUUUUAUUUAACUGCUGAGAAAAUAAAGACAUGAUCACGUGAUAUCAACAUACUCUGCCAGGUGUGUGUUUAGGAAAAUAACACCUUCAAAGAGAGGUUAUAUGUCAGCAGCCAAACAGUGCAUGUAGACUUGUUUAUGAUACACUUAAUAUUAUCCUAAUAUUCUAAACUCAAAGCAGAUUUAGAAUUAUUGGUCACUUAAUUUAGCUCCCCAUGUUGAUUCUAUAGACCUAAUGCACAACCUCCAUCUGACCCAUGUACUAGAUAGUGUUAUGUGACCCAUGUACUAGAUAGUGUUAUGUGACCCAUGUAAUAUACAGUGUUAUGUGAAUCUUAUUUAUGCAGAAACUGCUAUUGUCUAAAUGUUUGUGUCUCCCUAAAAUUCAUAUGUUGAUAUUCUAACCCCCGCUGUGAUGGUAUUAGGAAGUGAAACCUUGAGAGGUCAUUAGGUAAUGAAAGUGAAUCCCUCAUGAAUGGGAUUAGUCCCCUUAUAACAGAGGCCCCAGGGAGAUCACUCGUGCCUUCUUACCACCUGAAGUGACAGCAAGAAGAUAGUAAGUCACUGACACCAAGUCCUGUGGACUUCCCAUCCUCCAGACUGUGAGAAAUAAAUUUCUGUUGUUUGUAAGCCCCUCA